GGCACGUUGAAUCGGAAAACCGAACCGCCGUCACCUUUGAUCUCGGGAGGCAGAGCGCCGGGGUGCCCGGUGCGCAGGCGGGGGUUACUUCGGAUCUUGCGGUUCCGGGUUCGAAUCCCGGGCGUGCCG
rnacentral:tRNA from 1 species